UACGAAGGGGGCUAGCGUUGUUCGGAAUUACUGGGCGUAAAGCGCACGUAGGCGGCCUGUUAAGUCGAACGUGAAAUCCCCGGGCUCAACCCGGGAACUGCGUCCGAUACUGGCAGGCUUGAAUCCGGGAGAGGGAUGCGGAAUUCCAGGUGUAGCGGUGAAAUUCGUAGAUAUUAGGAAGAACACCGGUGGCGAAGGCGGCCCACUGGAUCGGUACUGACGCUGAGGUGCGAAAGCGUGGGGAGCAAACAGG
rnacentral:rRNA from 1 species